GACGAACGCUGGCGGCGUGCCUAAUACAUGCAAGUAGAACGCAGUUGCGAACGGGUGAGUAACGCGUAGGUAACUGCCUGGUAGCGGGGGAUAACUAUUGGAAACGAUAGCUAAUACCGCAUACUACCAGAUGGACCUUCGUUGUAUUAGCUAGUUGGUGGGGUAACGGCUCACCAAGGCAACGAUACAUAGCCGACCUGAGAGGGUUAACGGGCACCAAGGGACUGAGACACAGCCCAGACUUCUACGGGAGGAAGCAGUAAGGGAGCUGCGGCAAUGGGGGGAACCCUGAACGCGCAACGCCGCGUGAGUGAAGAAGGUUUUCGGGUCGUAAAGCUCUGUUGUUAAGGAAGCGGUACUUAACCAGAAAGGAACGGCUAACUACGUGCCAGCCGCCGCGGUAAUAC
rnacentral:rRNA from 1 species